rnacentral:lncRNA from 1 species
CUUCACUCUCCUCAGUGAGUUCCUUCUGCUCCCGUUGGGUUGGUUGAGUUGGGUUGGUUGGGAUGAGGUGGGGGCAGGGAUCCCAGAGUUCUGGGGCCACAUGGCAUCGGGUCGCAGCGUGUUGGGGGCAGGAAGGGUCAGGGAGUCACAGGGUCUUGUGGGGGUGUGGUUCACCCAGAGCUGUGGGUCACGUAUAGCCAUGGGGUCACGCACAUACAGGGUGAUGAGAUCAUCUUGGCUUAUGGCUCGUGUGGGGUUACGGCUCAGGGCCCCACCUUUGGGCUGCAUGGACCCCCAGUCCCCUCUCAGGAAGAAAUGAAACCCCUCCUACACCGCUGCCCCCUUCCCCCCUUUUUUUUUUUUACCUCAAACUGCUCCCCACAUCCUCCCAUAGCACCCCAUACUCCUGCGU